GCCCAGGUGGCGAAAUUGGUAGACGCAAGGGACUUAAAAUCCCUCGCCCGAAAGGGCGUGCCGGUUCGACUCCGGCCCUGGGCA
rnacentral:tRNA from 1 species